GAUGAAGAACGCAGUGAAACGCGAUAUGUAAUGUGAAUUGCAGAAUUCAGUGAAUCAUCGAAUCUUUGAACGCACAUUGCGCCCGCCAGUAUUCUGGCGGGCAUGCCUGUUCGAGCGUCAUUUCAACCAUCAAGCCCCAGGCUUGUGUUGGGGACCUGCGGCUGCCGCAGGCCCUGAAAACCAGUGGCGGGCUCGCUGUCACACCGGGCGUAGUAGAUUUUAUCUCGCUCAGGGCGUGCUGCGGGUUCCGGCCGUUAAAAAGCCUUUUUUACCCAAGGUUGACCUCGGAUCAGGUAGGAAGACCCGCUGAACUUAAGCAUAUCAAUAAGCGGAGGA
rnacentral:misc_RNA from 1 species